GACGAACGCUGGCGGCGUGCUUAACACAUGCAAGUCGAGCGGAGCGGCGAACGGGUGAGUAACGCGUGAGUAACUGCCCCCCUCUCUGGGAUAACAGUUGGAAACGGCUGCUAAUACCGGAUAGUGGGGGAUGACUCGCGUCCUAUCAGCUUGUUGGUGGGGUAGGGGCCUACGAAGGCGACGACGGGUAGCCGGCCUGAGAGGGGGACCGGCCACAGUGGGCUGAGAGACGGCCCAAACUACAACGGGAGGCAGCAGGGGGGAAUAUUGCACAAGGGGGGAAACGAUGAUGGAGCAACGCCGGGUGCGGGAGGACGGCCUUCGGGUUGGAAACCGCUUGCAGCCAUGACGCGGUAGUGGCAGAAGAAGCACCGGCUAACUACGUGCCAGCAGCCGCGGUAAUUC
rnacentral:rRNA from 1 species